AACAGAUUUUCUGAAAGUAUAUAAAUAAGAAUAAUUCUUGGAAUGCACAAAAGUCUGUACAGGGCAGAGCUUCAAUCAUUAUUUGAUGGAAGCCAGCUGCCACGUCCUGAGGAGGCUCAAAAGUCUCGUGGAGAGAUUCACGUGGGAGAAACUGAGGUCCCCUGUCAAUGGCUGGCAAAGAACUGAGGUCUUCUGCCCAGAGCCACGUGACUGAGCUUAGACACACAUCCUGCAGCCCCAGCCAAGCCUUGGGCUUCACUUGUCCGAUUCUACAGCUUGACUCAACCUCAGCUGAACCAGAACCACUCAGCUGAUCUGCUCCCAAAUUGCUGACCUACAGAAACUAUGAGAUAGUAUGUAUUGUUUAAGCCACUAUUUGGGAUAGUUAACUAUGCAGCAGUAGAUAACUAAUACACCAGCC
rnacentral:lncRNA from 1 species